GUGACGAGCGGCGGACGGUAGUAAUGUCUGGAACUGCCUGAUGGAGGGGAUACUACUGAACGGUAGCUAUACGAUACGUCGCAGACAAGAGGGGACCUUCGGGCCUCUGCCAUCAAUGUGCCCAGAUGGGAUACUAUUAGGUGGGGUACGGUCACUAGCAAUCCUACUGGUCUGAAAGUGACACCACCUGGAACUGAAACACGGCCAAUCCUACGGAGCAAGGGGAAUAUUGCAAUGGGCGCAAGCCUGAUGCAAGCCAUGCCGGUGUAUGAAGAAGGCCUCUCGGGUUGUAAAGUACUUUCAGCGGGGAGGAAGGUGUCGUGGUAAUAACCACAAAAUUGACGUUACCCGCAAGAAAAAAGCACCGGGCUAACUCCGUGCCAGCAGCCGCGGUAACUACGGAAGGGUGCAAGCGUUAAUCCGGAAUUCACUUGGGCGUAAAAGCGCACAGCAGGCGGCUGUCAAAGUUCGGCAUGUGAAUCCCCGGGCUCAACCUGGGAAACUUGCAUUCGAAAAACUGGGCAGGCUAGAANUCUUGUAAAGGGGGGUACANAAACUNACCAGGGUGUCAACGGCGAACAUGCGUANAGNAUCCGGAGG
rnacentral:rRNA from 1 species